rnacentral:rRNA from 1 species
CGACGCCGCGUGAGGGAUGAAGGCCUUCGGGUUGUAAACCUCUUUCAGCAGGGACGAAGCGCAAGUGACGGUACCUGCAGAAGAAGCACCGGCUAACUACGUGCCAGCAGCCGCGGUAAUACGUAGGGUGCAAGCGUUGUCCGGAAUUACUGGGCGUAAAGAGUUCGUAGGCGGUUUGUCGCGUCGUUUGUGAAAACUCACAGCUCAACUGUGAGCUUGCAGGCGAUACGGGCAGACUUGAGUACUGCAGGGGAGACUGGAAUUCCUGGUGUAGCGGUGAAAUGCGCAGAUAUCAGGAGGAACACCGGUGGCGAAGGCGGGUCUCUGGGCAGUAACUGACGCUGAGGAACGAAAGCGUGGGUAGCGAACAGGAUUAGAUACCCUGGUAGUCCACGCCGUAAACGGUGGGCGCUAGGUGUGGGUUCCUUCCACGGAAUCUGUGCCG